GCUGGGCGUGGUGGCGGGUGCCUGUAAUCCCAGCUACUUGGGAGGCUGAGUCAGGAGAAUUGCUUGAACCCAGGAGGCCGAGGUUGCAGUGAGCUGAGAUCGCGCCAUUGCACUCCAGCCUGGGCGACAGAGCGAGACUCUGUCUCAA
rnacentral:SRP_RNA from 1 species